UGUUCUGUAGCUUAGUUGGUUAAAGCGCCGGACUAGCGAUAAUGAAGUCGUGGGUUAAAAUCCCACCAAAGCAA
rnacentral:tRNA from 1 species